CCUCUGAUCACCUGGGUGCCUCCUCUGGACUCUCUCCAACAGGCACGAGCACCUUCCACUUCUCCAAUCACAGACCUAAAGGCUGACAGCUUUAUUUGGGCACUAUCUGGAUCCAGCACUUUUAUUAUGCCAGCCCUUCAGCUGGAGCUGUGCCCUGCAGCUCCAGGGCUGCAGCAGAAACCAGAGCUCCUGAAUCUUUAUGGGAAGUCCAACAAACUGGUGAAUACUGAAAAACUAGGAGGGAAGAAUCGAAGUAGAGCUGCCACUGAUGCUGAGGUAACUCCUGAGGCAGCAGGAGGGAUGAAAGCUGUCUUGGAGCUUUAUUAUUACUUGACCACAUGGAUGAAGAUGGCAGGAAGCUGCACACUGUCAAAACACCAGAAAAAAAAGGCAUCUACAGAGAUGCAAAGUGGUCAGUCCUGUCCUGUGUGACACUUUAGUGCUGCCAUGGGCAAAUAUCCAGUGGGAAACACAGCGCACAGAAGUUACUUGGGAACAAAACACAGCAGCCAACAUGUUGCUACAUAAAAUUUGUAUUUUACGAGGCUCAGUAAUUACAGUGAGCAGUUCCCAGAGUGCACAGACAAAAGGGAGUGAAGUGAGAUGGCACAGCCAGAGCGGCUCCUGCUUGUUCCAUCCUUUACAAACAUUUUGUGCAUCUGUUGGUAUUUGAGUUCAGAGGGACUGAUCCAGCACCAGCUGAUGUUGAUGAAAGGAUAUUCAUUAUCUUUAGGGGCUUCUGGAUUAGCAUCAGAUUUAUUAAACCUUUCAACCAGGGCCUGGUUGGCCGUUUGGGAGUUGAAAGCAUCUUGUGUCCACGAGUGUCUUAAUUAUAAAUUAUCUACACUGUCACAUGUUUGAUAUUUUGACAGGCUUGAGGACUCUGGGAGUACUUUAGUAGGUGGAAAGGUGUCUAAUACUGAAAUGGACUUUCAGACAGGAGUGUGUAAUGGUCUGAAGAAAAUACUUGAUGUAUUUUUGUAUUUUUAUCCUCUUGUAAUGCAUCAUCUGGGGCAUUUAAACCUAAGUGUGUAGAACAGGAAUUGUUCCUACAAGAUGAGAGGAGCUCUGGACAUACAGGCUCAGAUCCUGACUCUGCCUUCACUUGACUAAGUCGUAAAAUCUGGACUGUAUCUCUGUCUGCAAAGUAUGUGUAUUAAUAAUUCCUUAUACAGGGGGAAUAUUAUGAAACCCUUUGUGAUUUUAAGAUCCUUCACUGGUAAAUGUGAUACUGAAAGGGUGGAUGGAAAAUGGAAAUAUAUCAGAUAUUCCCUGACUUUUUCAAGAACUGCUUUGCAGAAUUUAGCCUACAGGCUAACUCCCCAUGAAAUUUAUUAUUCACUUAAAUACUGCAUUGCAAGAUUGUUCCAGCUAAACAAAGUGUCCUACUGCUCACUAUCAGAGGGAACAGUCUGCUGCAACUACUCCAUAAUUGUGCUACUAAUGUAUACUUUAUUAAACUCCUGCUGUUUUCUUAACUGGUUUAUCUACUAAAAAUAGUCUGAUUAAUAAAAUGGAUGUCAGAUGUAUCCAUCUUUAUGCAUUUCCCCCAUGGAAUUAGACAGUACUAAGCAGUAAUUUGGAUUUUUUCUUUUCCUGUUAGUGUUAAGCAAUGUCAGUUAUUCUCUGCAGUGGAUUGCUGGGAGGAUAUUACAAAUUUGAAUUCAAUUCAGGUUGGCAGCGAUGAGAAUUCAGGUGUU